ACCUAAUACAAAUACUUCGAAAGACACAAAGAUUAAAGGCACAAUUCUUAUCCCAUAUGCUAGGACUAAUUCUUACAAAUGUUCCUUCUUCCCUAGUGCCAUAAGUGCAUGUAAAGGGCUACAUGAAUCCGCCAAGAAAACAAACGACUUAGCAGAUUUAAAGCAACGAAUUAACAUGCAUGACUACACUGAAAUAGGAAACACCUAGGACGUAAUUAUUUUCUCUUUUGAAGUCACGUCUGUAAGUUAUAAGAUAAAUCCUGUUUAAUGGAGC